GCCGCCUUAGCUCAGUUGGCAGAGCAAUCGUUUCGUAAACGAUAGGUCCUGGGUCCGACUCCCAGAGGCGGCU
rnacentral:tRNA from 3 species